ACUGCUCAGUAACACGUGGAUAACCUGCCCUAAGGAAGGGGAUAACCUCGGGAAACUGAGGAUAAUACCCUAUAGGUUACAGACGCUGGAAUGCCCUGUAACCGAAAGUUCCGGCGCCUUAGGAUGGAUCUGCGGCCGAUUAGGUUGUUGUUGGGGUAACGGCCCAACAAGCCGAUAAUCGGUACGGGUUGUGGGAGCAAGAGCCCGGAGUUGGAUUCUGAGACAUGAAUCCAGGCCCUACGGGGCGCAGCAGGCGCGAAAACUUUACAAUGCGGGAAACCGUGAUAAGGGAACCCCGAGUGCCUGUAUAUGCAGGCUGUCCAGGUGUCUAAAAAACACCUGAAGAAAGGGCCGGGCAUGACCGGUGCCAGCCGCCGCGGUAAUACCGGCGGCUCGAGUGGUGGCCACUUUUAUUGGGCUUAAAGCGUUCGUAGCUGGGUUGUUAAGUCUCUUGGGAAAUCUGACGGCUCAACCGUCAGGCGUCCAAGGGAUACUGGCAAUCUUGGAACCGGGAGAGGUGAGGGGUACUUCGGGGGUAGGAGUGAAAUCCUAUAAUCCUCGAGGGACCACCUGUGGCGAAGGCGCCUCACCAGAACGGCUUCGACAGUGAGGGACGAAAGCUGGGGGAGCAAACCGGAUUAGAUACCCGGGUAGUCCCAGCCGUAAACGAUGCGCGUUAGGUGUAUCGGUGACCACGAGUCACCGAGGUGCCGAAGGGAAACCGUGAAACGUGCCGCCUGGGAAGUACGGUCGCAAGGCUGAAACUUAAAGGAAUUGGCGGGGGAGCAC
rnacentral:rRNA from 1 species